rnacentral:rRNA from 1 species
UACGAAGGGGGCUAGCGUUGCUCGGAAUCACUGGGCGUAAAGCGCACGUAGGCGGCUUUUUAAGUCAGGGGUGAAAUCCUGGAGCUCAACUCCAGAACUGCCUUUGAUACUGAGAAGCUUGAGUCCGGGAGAGGUGAGUGGAACUGCGAGUGUAGAGGUGAAAAUUCGUAGAUAUUCGCAAGAACACCAGUGGCGAAGGCGGACUCACUGGCCCGAUACUGACGCUGAGGCACGAAAGCG